rnacentral:snoRNA from 1 species
AAGACUAUACUUUCAGGGAUCAUUUCUAUAGUCCGUUACUAGAGAAAAGCAUAAAAGAAAAAAAAGAUACUAUAGGAAGCUGUGCCAUUUGGAAUUUGACAGA